GAUGAACGCUGGCGGCGUGCCUAAUACAUGCAAGUCGAGCGAACGGACGCGAAUCUUGCUUCUCUCUUGUUAGCCGCACACGUGUGUGUAACGCGUGUAUAAUCUCCCUAUCAGUCUGGGAUCACUUCGGGAAACCGUCUCUAAUCCCGUAUAAUCUUUUGCACCGCAUGGUUGAAUGGUGAAAUUCGGUCUUGCUGUCUCUACUCGAUGGAUCUGCGCUUCAUUAGCUAGUUGUUAAGGUAACGGCUUAUCAAGGCAACUAUGCAUAGCCGACGGGAGAGGGUGAUAGGCCACACUGGAAGGGAGACGCGGUCCAGACUACUGCGGGAGGCAGCAGUAGGCAAUGUUACGCAAUAGGCGAAAGCCUGACGGAGCAACGCCGCGUCAGUGAUGAAAGUGUUCGGAGCGGAAAACUCUGUUAUUAGGGAAGAACAGAUGUGGAAGUAAAUGUGCACAUAGUGACGGUACCUAAUCAGAAAGCAACGGCUAACUACGUG
rnacentral:rRNA from 1 species